rnacentral:rRNA from 1 species
AAACCGUUGAAAGGGAAGCGAAUGGAGUUAGCAAUUCGCCCAGCCAGAUUCAGUUGCUCGCACGUCGCGACGUACGCGCUCUCGAUCCGCAUGGACGAGACGUGUGCGGGUGCGACGCGCGGUCUGCGCACUUCUGGCGAGCGAGCGUCAGCGUCGGUUGUCGACGGGCGACAAGGACGCGGGGAAGGUGGACUGGCCUUCACGGCCGGUUGUUACAGCCCCGUGCUCGCAUAGCCCGACGGCGACCGUGGCUCGGCGACGCGUGCCUGGCUGGUGACUCGAACGAUCGGUCCGGCAUGUCGACCGUGGCGGACGGCACGCCUGUGCGCUCAAACCGCUGCCGGUCGAUCGGACGAUGUUCACACACUACGCGUCAAAGAUGCUGACGGCCAUACGGCUCCAUCCGACCCGUCUUGAAACACGGACCAAGGAGUCUAACAUGUGCGCGAGUCUCCGGGUGAUCGAAACCCGUGGGCACAAUGAAAGUAAAGAUCGUCCUAGACGAUUGAGGUGAGAAGCGGGCGCCCCGGCGCUCGCGGCAUCAUCGACCGACCUAUUCUGCUCUCAGAGAGGUUUGAGUAAGAGCGUAUCUGUUGGGACCCGAAAGAUGGUGAACUAUGCCUGA